UUUAAAGUCUAAGCAACUUCAACGCAUAUAUUGUUGCUAUCUAAUCAGUGAGUUCGCUGGGGGCCACAAUUUGAGCCUGCUUUGUUUACAUUUUGGCAAAUUCUGCCAAAGAGUGAAAAACGGAACAAAGUCUCAUCCACUGCUCUCCAAUAAGAAAUUCUACCACCGGUGAGACAGCAUAUUUCGCGCUGAUAGAGGAGGCCCGGGGUCCGUCCAGCUCUGGGGAGAUUGUGGCGGUAAACUCCAACAGACCUGGAGCUCAGGGCCAGAGGGGAGCAUCGCUCGCCGGCAUCCAGACACUGGUUGUCGUUGGAACCAGUUGAGUGCUUUUUGGUUUCCACCUGUUGGAAGACCUUGCAGUAGUCGAGCUGCAUGACAACUUCUGCAUCUUUUAAAGAUUAAAAACCAGUCUUAAUUUUGCAUAUAUUUAUUAUAGAUAAGCCAGUUUAUAUGAUUUGAAUGGAACCAAAAAUCCACAAUAUAAGCAUUUCAUUGAAGUAAAUCAACAUUAAGAUCCAAAACCAUUGGGCUGAGGAAUUGAAAUUCUUCAAUACAUUUACUGAAACUCAACAGAAGCCUACACUCUGUUGAUGCCGUUGGGUUUGUGUGUCUGACCCUAACCCAACUCAGGUUGUGGACCACAAACGGUACGGGAGCCGAGCAGAGUUUGAUGGCACCGUCGUUCACGUGCUGGAAGAAUUUGGUGUAAAGCUGGUGUCUGGCUCACGAGGAUCCCCUCUUGAGGAUACUUUUAAACUGGUUUUAUAAUACUAAAGAGACACUAACAAGCUCCUAUGGAAGCACCGGAUGGACAGACUUUUCCACGCAAGCGAUGCAGGAGAAACCACCUAAAAAAGGAAGGAAAGGAAACCCAUCUUUAAAGUUAAAACUUUGCACUUAAAGCAUGUGAAUACCUGAAAUGAGAAUGUAAAGGGCUCAUGUGAUGACGUGAUGUCAGGCUGCAGGGAAUCAUUGUUGCAUCUUUAAA